rnacentral:rRNA from 1 species
GUGGCGAACGGGUGCGUAACACGUGGGCAAUCUGCCUUGAAGUUGGGGAUAAGCUACCGAAAGGGAGUCUAAUACCGAAUGACGUCUCGAGGGGACAUCCCCUUGAGACCAAAGGAAGCUGAUAUUUAUAAGCUAUCACUUCAAGAUGAGCCCGCGCUUCAUUAGCUAGUUGGUGGGAUAAUAGCUCACCAAGGCUACGAUGGAUAGCCGGCCUGAGAGGGUGUACGGCCACACUGGGACUGAGAUACGGCCCAGACUCCUACGGGAGGCAGCAGUAGGGAAUAUUGCGCAAUGGGCGAAAGCCUGACGCAGCAACGCCGCGUGGGUGAUGAAGUUCUUCGGAAUGUAAAACCCUGUCUAGAGGAAAGAAACUCCCCAAAUCAAAUAGCUUUGGGGAUUGACGGUACCUCUGGAGGAAGCUCCGGCCAACUCCGUGCCAGCAGCCGCGGUAAUACGGGGGGAGCAAGCGUUGUUCGGAAUCACUGGGCGUAAAGGGUGUGUAGGCGGGUAAGCAAGUCGGGCGUGAAAACUCCUAGCUUAACUGGGAGCGUGCGUCCGAUACUACUUGUCUUGAGUACGAGAGAGGAAAGUGGAAUUCCUGGUGUAGCGGUGAAAUGCGUAGAUAUCAGGAGGAACACCGGUGGCGAAGGCGGCUUUCUAGCUCGAUACUGACGCUGAGACACGAAGGCUAGGGGAGCAAACAGGAUUAGAUACCCUGGUAGUCCUAGCGGUAAACGUUGGGCACUAGGUGUUGUUCCUUAACCGGAGCAGUGCCGCAGUUAACGCGUUAAGUGCCCCGCCUGGGGAGUACGACCGCAAGGUUGAAACUCAAAGGAAUUGACGGGGGCCCGCACAAGCGGUGGAGUAUGUGGUUUAAUUCGACGCAACGCGAAGAACCUUACCUGGGCUUGACAUCCCGAUGUAAACUUAAGAGAUUAAGUCCCUCAGCGAUGAGCGUUGGGACAGGUGCUGCAUGGCUGUCGUCAGCUCGUGCCGUGAGGUGUUGGGUUAAGUCCCGCAACGAGCGCAACCCCUGUCCUUAGUUGCCACCUUCCCGCAAGGGAGGAGCACUCUAAGGAGACUGCCAGUCAUAAGCUGGAGGAAGGUGGGGAUGACGUCAAGUCCUCAUGGCCCUUAUGUCCAGGGCUACACACGUACUACAAUGGCCGGUACAACGGGUCGCAAUGCCGUAAGGUGGAGCCAAUCCUUAAAACCGGUCUCAGUUCGGAUUGAAGGCUGCAACUCGCCUUCAUGAAGUUGGAAUUGCUAGUAAUCGCGUAUCAGCAGGUCGCGGUGAAUACGUUCCCGGGCCUUGUACACACCGCCCGUCAAGCCAUGGAAGCCGGGGGUACCCGAAGUCGUUUUUCCAACACGCAAGGGAGGAAGGCGCC